rnacentral:rRNA from 1 species
CCUACGGGAGGCAGCAGUGGGGAAUAUUGGGCAAUGGAGGAAACUCUGACCCAGCGACGCCGCGUGCGGGAUGAAGGCCUUCGGGUUGUAAACCGCUUUCAGUAGGGAAGAAGCGAAAGUGACGGUACCUACAAAAGAAGCACCGGCUAACUAUGUGCCAGCAGCCGCGGUAAUACAUAGGGUGCAAGCGUUGUCCGGAAUUAUUGGGCGUAAAGAGCUCGUAGGUCGUUUGUUACGUCGGAUGUGAAAACCUGAGGCUCAACCUCAGGCCUGCAUUCGAUACGGGCAAACUAGAGUUUGGUAGGGGAGACUGGAAUUCCUGGUGUAGCGGUGGAAUGCGCAGAUAUCAGGAGGAACACCAAUGGCGAAGGCAGGUCUCUGGGCCAAUACUGACACUGAGGAGCGAAAGUCUGGGGAGCGAACAGGAUUAGAUACCCUGGUAGUCCAGACCGUAAACGGUGGGCACUAGUUGUGGGAACCUUCCACGGUUUCUGCGACGCAGCUACGCAUAGUGCCCGCCGUCGGGAGGUACGAGUCGCGAAGAAGUUAAACGUACGAAAGGAAAGUUAGUAACGGUACGUGUUAGACGUAGCCGAAGGACGACGACGAGGGAGGAGG